CCUAAAACUUCCUCAGCGCCGUUUCAUUUCUCAAAGUCACUCUCUCAAACUCAAGUAACUCUCUCACUCUCUCGGAGAUCGCACUUCGUCUCCUCUCAGUCGGCUGGUCGUUGCCUCGUCGUGGUCGGUCCGCGGUCCGUUCAACUAGUGGUGCGUCGAUCGUCGGAGUCUUGGAGAAAAUGGAUGAGGUUGUAAAGGUGUCACCCCAUGCUCGUGCGAUAAGGGAUGUGGAUGACGAGGAGCUUCGUAGCUUCUUCUAUGGAAUGUCACCGUGGCAGUUUAUACUCAUUGUUGCUGCAAGCUCAGUAGGAGAGGAACUCUUCUAUCGAGCUGCUGUCCAGGUUAGUAGACGUAUUCAAUCAUUUGGGAAAUUUCCCAUUAGCUGAUGGAAAAUUUCAUAAUUUAUUUUCCUUUUUUAUGACUUUGCCACUUGUGAUAAUUGAAAAAGUUGUAUAUAGUACUGGAUAUUGUUUUUUGAAGUCUCUUUGGAGUGCUCCAAAAAGGGAUCUUGUAAAGUUUAAAAACACUAUUUCCAAUUGUAUGCAAAAAGACUAUCUGUAAUGACUAUUGCUUUGUUAUAUGUUCAGACUUGGUUACAUUUUAUAACAUAACAGACCAUACAUAUUUCUUAAACUUGAAAGAUGCCUUAAGAUGAUGUCCCUCAGAUGAACGACCUAAAAUGCAACUGUAGAUCAAAAUCUAUUCGCCAAGUGAUUUUUAAAUCUUGGAAAUUCGUUCUAUACCUUUUUUCUGUAUGUAUUGAAUAAUCUUUGUAUAUAAUAUAUAGUUCCGGUUGUUAAUGUUGUUUUAGUUAUUGUUGCAUAUUUCCUGAUUUAUAUCACUUUUCCAUAUUAUAACGUGUUUGGCGAGUUAUUAGUUGACUUGGAAUUUUCUGUUGAUUUCGUAAUUGUUCUGUUUUAUGUUCAACUGAAUUACGUCUUGAAAUUUUUGCUGGUUUGUUUUACAUUAAUUAGGGGAGAGUUUUCGUUGUUGCCGCUGCCGUUGCUCUGAGAAGUAAUGCUGGUUAUAUCUUGUAGUUGGUGUUGUAUUUGGAGGUUUUAAAGAUGAGUGAUAACUUGAUGGAUAAAGUGACCUCUUUGGGUGAGCGUCUGAGGAUCGGCGGGAGUGAAGUUAGUAAGAAAAUGAGUGCUAGUGUGAGUUCUAUGAGUGACAAAAUGAAGGAACUAUUCCAAGGGCCGAAUCAGGCAGAUAAGAUUGUUGAGGAGGCGACUGCAAAGAAUUAAUGAGUUUGAGAUACAUUGUAAGGAAUUUCUUGCUUUGAGUUCAGUCUCUGUUUUUUUGCUCCAAUUUUGUUCCAUUUCUUUCGAAGAAUUCAAUGAGUUGAUGAACUUGAGACACAUUGUGCAACUGGGUUAUUAGGGCUUGAAAUUGUUGAUGAAAUUGUACUGGUAAAAGCUUUAUAUUUCAGAUUAAAGAUGUUUCUUGAUUUUAUUUAUUGGUGAGCCUGAAAUUUUGUUGGUUUCCUUUUUCUUUGUAGUUAUAAUCGAGAGGGCAUGAGAAUAAGUGUGGAAGGAAUCCUACUGGGUUUUCAAUGGAAGUUUUUAGGGGUUGUCUCACUAACUAGGUCCGUUUCUUCGCAAUUUGUAGAACCUCAGGAUUCUCCAUCUGAUUUCAAGUUCAAAUUACUCUGAGGUAUAUUAGGUAUUUGUUUAAAAUCUGUAUUUUUAUCUUAUUUUGCAAAAUUGUUAUAAUGAACCUAAUUAAGGUUAGAAUUAAUAGGUGAAUCGUUACAACAAUCUAUUCAUCCUCCUUUCUCCUUAGAUUGCAUCUCUUUUUCUAGUUAAAUUUCUUUAAUUGCAUAUUUCGUUGGUAUGUUUUCAUAUUUUCUAGGAAUUUGCAAUUUAAGCCCUAUUUUCUGUUUAAAAUUAUAAUGUUAGUCCACAGAUUUUUGAGCAUUCUCUACGUUAAGGUUUUCAUCUAGGUUUCAGUAAUGACUUGGUUUUAAUAAUGUAUUUGUUUGAAAUUCUGUUUUUUUUUAGCGUAUGGCUUGGUUUCACCUAUUACUUCUAUGUUAGCUCUUGUCCUGUCUGAUGUUAAUUUCUCUUUGAAAUAUCAUUUGCCCAGGUUAUUCUUCUGUUUUAGUUUCUUUGGUCAAGUGUGAUGUAAG